rnacentral:sRNA from 1 species
AAGAAAGUGACUGCCGCCCCGCACAGGGGCGAAGCUUAUAAACCAAAGCCAAUACAAGUUUCAUAGGAGCGCAGGCGCACCAGACGUUGUAAACAACAAACCCCAACCCCGAGCGCCAGCGGGACGCCU